rnacentral:rRNA from 1 species
GGGGAAUUUUCCGCAAUGGGCGAAAGCCUGACGGAGCAAUGCCGCGUGNAGGUAGAAGGCCCACGGGUCGUGAACNUCUUUUCCCGGAGAAUAAGCAACUGACGGUAUCUGGGGAAUNAGCAUCGGCUAACUCUGUGCCAGCAGCCGCGGUAAUACAGAGGAUGCAAGCGUUAUCCGGAAUGAUUGGGCGUAAAGCGUCUGUAGGUGGCUUNUNAAGUCCGCCGUCAAAUCCCAGUGGCUCAACCCUGAUACAGGCGGUGGAAACUACCAAACUGGAGUACGGUANGGGCAGAGGGAAUUNCCGGUGUAGCGGUGAAAUGCGUANAGAUCGGAAAGAACACCAACGGCGAAAGCACUCUGCUGGGCCGACACUGACACUGANAGACGAAAGCUANGGGAGCGAAUGGGAUUANAUACCCCANUANUCA